AGGAAGGUGGGCGAUGCUUAAAUGCAAGUCGAACGGCAGCGGGGGUAGCUUGCUACCUGCCGGCGAGUGGCGAACGGGUGAGUAAUACAUCGGAACGUGCCCUGUAGUGGGGGAUAACUAGUCGAAAGACUAGCUAAUACCGCAUACGACCUGAGGGUGAAAGUGGGGGACCGCAAGGCCUCAUGCUAUAGGAGCGGCCGAUGUCUGAUUAGCUAGUUGGUGGGGUAAAGGCCCACCAAGGCGACGAUCAGUAGCUGGUCUGAGAGGACGAUCAGCCACACUGGGACUGAGACACGGCCCAGACUCCUACGGGAGGCAGCAGUGGGGAAUUUUGGACAAUGGGGGCAACCCUGAUCCAGCAAUGCCGCGUGUGUGAAGAAGGCCUUCGGGUUGUAAAGCACUUUUGUCCGGAAAGAAAUCGCACUGGUUAAUACCUGGUGUGGAUGACGGUACCGGAAGAAUAAGGACCGGCUAACUACGUGCCAGCAGCCGCGGUAAUACGUAGGGUCCAAGCGUUAAUCGGAAUUACUGGGCGUAAAGCGUGCGCAGGCGGUUGUGCAAGACCGAUGUGAAAUCCCCGGGCUUAACCUGGGAAUUGCAUUGGUGACUGCACGGCUAGAGUGUGUCAGAGGGAGGUAGAAUUCCACGUGUAGCAGUGAAAUGCGUAGAGAUGUGGAGGAAUACCGAUGGCGAAGGCAGCCUCCUGGGAUAACACUGACGCUCAUGCACGAAAGCGUGGGGAGCAAACAGGAUUAGAUACCCUGGUAGUCCACGCCCUAAACGAUGUCAACUAGUUGUUGGGGAUUCAUUUCCUUAGUAACGUAGCUAACGCGUGAAGUUGACCGCCUGGGGAGUACGGUCGCAAGAUUAAAACUCAAAGGAAUUGACGGGGACCCGCACAAGCGGUGGAUGAUGUGGAUUAAUUCGAUGCACCGCGAAAAACCUUACCUACCCUUGACUUGCACUAACGAAGCG
rnacentral:rRNA from 1 species